rnacentral:rRNA from 1 species
GACGAACGCUGGCGGCGUGGAUUAGGCAUGCAAGUCGAACGGUAGGAUACCUUCGGGUAUCUGAGAGUGGCGAACGGGUGAGUAACACGUAGGUGAUCUACCCUCAAGAUUGGGACAACCCAGGGAAACUUGGGCUAAUACCGGAUGAAAGCAGCAGUGAUGUUGUUUGAAAGGUGGCGUAAGCUGCCGUUUGGGGAUGAGCCUGCGCUCUAUUAGUUAGUUGGCGGGGUAAAGGCCCACCAAGGCGAUGAUAGAUAGGCGGCCUUAACGGGUGGUCGCCCACACUGGGAUUGAGAUACGGCCCAGACUCCUACGGGAGGCAGCAGUCGAGAAUAGUCUACAAUGGCCGAAAGGCUGAUAGUGCGACGCCGCGUGAACGAAGAAGCCCUUCGGGGUGUAAAGUUCUUUUAUAUGUGAGCAGUGCUUUCUAUGUGAACAGCAUGGGGAGAGAGAUAUUAGCAUAUGAAUAAGCAACGGCUAACUCCGUGCCCAGCA